rnacentral:tRNA from 1 species
AAUAAAGUGCCUGAUUAAAGGAGUAUUCUGAUAGGAUAAAUUAAGUAAUAUGAAUUACCUUUAUUA